rnacentral:tRNA from 1 species
GCCCUCGUGGCCCAGAGGUUAAAGGCGUAUCACUUGUAAUGAUAAGAUCACCCGUUCGAAUCGGGUCGGGGGCA